rnacentral:rRNA from 1 species
AUUGAACGCUGGCGGCAGGCCUAACACAUGCAAGUCGAGCGGAGCGGCGGACGGGUGAGUAACACGUGAGUAACCUGCCCUCUUCUUUGGGAUAACGUCCGGAAACGGCUGUUAAUACGGGAUAGUGGGGGAUGGGCUCGCGGCCUAUCAGCUUGUUGGUGGGGGGAUGGCCUAACAAGGCGUUGACGGGUAACCGGCCUGGGAGGGUGUCCGGUUAAGUUGGGACUGGGAGACGGCCCAGACGCCUACGGGAGGCAGCAGUGUGGAAGUUUGCACAAUGGCCGCAAGCCUGAUGCGGCGACGCCGCGUGAGGGAUGACGGCCUUCGGGGUGUAACCCUUUUUCGCUCAUGGUCGGGUAGUGGGUAAAGAAGCGCCGGCUAACUACGUGCCAGCAGCCGCGGUAAUAC